GACGAACGCUGGCGGCGUGCUUAACACAUGCAAGUCGAACGGAAAGGCCCUGCUUGCAGGGUGCUCGAGUGGCGAACGGGUGAGUAACACGUGGGUGAUCUGCCCCUUACUUUGGGAUAAGCCUGGGAAACUAGGUCUAAUACUGGAUAGGACCAUGCUGUAGGUGGUGUGGUGGAAAGAUUAGUUUCGGUAAGGGAUGAGCUCGCGGCCUAUCAGCUUGUUGGUGGGGUAAUGGCCUACCAAGGCGUCGACGGGUAGCCGGCCUGAGAGGGUGGACGGCCACAUUGGGACUGAGAUACGGCCCAGACUCCUACGGGAGGCAGCAGUGGGGAAUAUUGCACAAUGGGCGCAAGCCUGAUGCAGCGACGCCGCGUGGGGGAUGACGGCCUUCGGGUUGUAAACUCCUUUCAGCCAUGACGAAGCCCUUGUGGUGACGGUAGUGGUAGAAGAAGCACCGGCUAACUACGUG
rnacentral:rRNA from 1 species